UACGUAGGGGGCGAGCGUUGUCCGGAAUUACUGGGCGUAAAGGGCGCCUAGGCGGUUUCUUAAGUCUGCUGUGAAAGACCGAGGCUCAACCUCGGGGUGUCAGCGGAGACUGGGAGACUUGAGUGUCGGAGAGGAGUGCGGAAUUCCUGGUGUAGCGGUGGAAUGCGUAGAUAUCAGGAGGAACACCGAUGGCGAAGGCAGCACUCUGGCCGAAUACUGACGCUGAAGCGCGAAAGCGUGGGGAGCGAACGGG
rnacentral:rRNA from 1 species